rnacentral:misc_RNA from 1 species
AACGCACAUUGCGCCCUCUGGUAUUCCGGAGGGCAUGCCUGUUCGAGCGUCAUUACAACCCUCAAGCUCUGCUUGGCCUUGGGCAUCACCGGCAACGGUGGGCCUCAAACCCAGUGGCGGUGCCGUCUGGCUCUAAGCGUAGUAAUUCUUCUCGCUAUAGGUGCCCGGUGGAUGCUUGCCAACAACCCCCAAUUUUUUCAGGUUGACCUCGGAUCAGGUAGGGAUACCCGCUGAACUUAA